GGGCGGCUGGCGAGCGGCAGUCGCUGCCCUAGGCGGGUUUCCCCUCAGAACGAGUGAGUGACAGAAACGGAUGCCCGGCGCUUCCAGCUAAGAAUCACUCCGCCCAGCUUCCACUUCCCACCACUGGCUCCGCUCGCCGGCAGCUGCCUCGGCCCCGCACCCGCAGCCUGGCUGGCCCUCCCCAUACCCAGAGCUGCACAGCCGCCAGCUUCCCAGAAAGCCAGAAACCGAGGGCCCCCUUCGCCGUGACUGGACGUGCUUGGCUUCUGGAAUUUUCCUACAAGCUCUGAUGUGUCCAGCUUGCACCCGCGCUUCCCCAGUGGCUGCUGACUCUCGCGUCCCUCCCUCCUGCUUCCAGACUUUCGCUUCCCCAGCUCUUCCCAAGCCCUACAAGGCUGAUUCCUAGAAUGCUUACCCUGGCCCUACUCGCUUAUCCAAAUCCUGAGCCACCCAAGGCCUACAGAUUUCGCUUCAUUUUAAAUGAAAACUAGCGCAAGAAGACACUCGUUCUGGAUUGGAGAGAAUAGCUGUGGAAUAACAGGACUGGAGGAGGACAGCAACAGGCUGUAAUGAAAGAGAUUUCAGUCCAUGGUCACUUGGACUUGUUGCUCUAGGCCUGCAGCGACACAGUACAUCAUGACUAAAGUACGUGGCAGAGGAGGCCUGUUCACAUCACUACAGCCAGGAAGCAAAAAGAAGCCAGAAUCCAAAGGAGGGGCUUUCCCAUCAUGGGAGGAGAUGCUCUUCUUAUCCUGCAAAACCCUUGGAACCAGCACAGACAGACAGAUUGUCUUCAGGAACCACAGAAAAGCGACAAGUCUAGAGGAAGCUGACUUUGGUGCGAAGAAAGGAAUGCCAAGCUUCAAAAGGAAGAAGAAAGGACAGGUGCUGGCCUGGCUUGGAACACAGAGGAGAGGCAGGCAAAUGUCCC
ensembl:lncRNA